rnacentral:rRNA from 1 species
UACGUAGGGAGCAAGCGUUGUCCGGAAUCAUUGGGCGUAAAGAGCGUGUAGGCGGUCCUGUAAGUCCGCUGUGAAAGUCAAGGGCUCAACCCUUGAAUGCCGGUGGAUACUGCAGGACUAGAGUCCGGAAGAGGCGAGUGGAAUUCCUGGUGUAGCGGUGAAAUGCGCAGAUAUCAGGAGGAACACCGAUGGCGAAGGCAGCUCGCUGGGACGGUACUGACGCUGGAGACGCGAAAGCGUGGGGAGCAAACAGG